CAAGAAACUGUCCCGGGCUUACCCCCGGGUUCAUUUCAUAACCCUUUGUUGUCCGACUCUGUUGCCUCCGGGGCGACCCUGCCUUCGGGCGGGGGCUCCGGGUGGACAAAUUCAAACUCUUGCGUAACUUUGCAGUCUGAGUAAAUUUAAUUAAUAAAUUA
rnacentral:misc_RNA from 1 species